rnacentral:piRNA from 1 species
UGCUACAAUGUGAGGAGCGGGUGCGGC